AUUCAUCUGAUGAAUCCCAAAUAGGACUAAAUGCGCGUCUUGGAC
rfam:Schistosoma rodhaini strain Burundi genome assembly, scaffold: SROB_scaffold0012809